rnacentral:misc_RNA from 1 species
GGGGAUGAGGUUGACAGCCAGCUUCCUGAGAUCAGAGUUGAGCUGACCAGGGAACCUCAGGCAGCAGGUCACUCCCGACAUUGUCGCAGAUAUCAGAUGGUUCAAGUCACCGAAGCUGGGAGUGGUAAGCUUAAGGGUCCUAAAGCAGAUGUCAUAUAGAGCUUCGUUGUCCAGUACCAUGCACUCAUCAGCAUUCUCGACAAGCUGGUGAACCGAGAGGGUUGCAUUGUAAGGUUCAACAACAGUGUCUGAGACCUUAGGGGAUGGGAAGACUGAGAAGGUAAGCAUCAUCCGGUCAGGAUACUCUUCCCUGAUCUUGGAUAUCAGUAGGGUCCCCAUACCAGAUCCGGUUCCCCCUCCCAAGGAAUGGCACACCUGGAAACCUUGCAAGCAAUCGCAGUUCUCCGCCUCCUUCCGUACCACAUCGAGAACCGAAUCGAUCAGCUCCGCACCUUCGGUAUAGUGCCCCUUCGCCCAGUUGUUACCAGCUCCGGAUUGGCCGAACACGAAGUUGUCCGGCCGGUAGAUCUGGCCGUAGGGGCCAGUCCGGAGGCUGUCCAUGGUCCCGGGUUCGAGAUCCAUGAGAACGGCGCGGGGGACAAAGCGACCGCAGCUGGCCUCGUUGUAGUAGACAUUGAGGCGCUCGAGCUGGAGGUCGCUGGUGCCCUGGUAGCGGCCGGUGGGGUCGAUGCCGUGCUCGGAGCAGAUAACCUCCCAGAACUUGGCGCCGAUCUGGUUACCGCACUGGCCGCCCUGGAUGUGGAGGAUUUCUCUCAUGGCGGCUAGGGUUAGGGUUUGCUAGGGUUUGAGUUGGGAGAU